rnacentral:lncRNA from 11 species
AUUUUAAUUUUGUAAGCCUCAGAAGCCUCCCAAAGUCAGUUUCAUUUUCAGUGCAAGGAAGCAAAGCAAAGCCAAAAAGGCUGCCUUUUCUCUUUAAAUUAAUGGCCUCUCACCAUUAGGAGAGCCAAACAGCAGGGAGAAAGCAGAGUUCACUGGGAAAGAAAGCACAGAAUUCUGGGAAAUGUAGUUUGGGAAGACAAGGAGCCAUAUGGCAGAGAGUUAAAAGGCCCUGUCCUAAACUACCUAUCCCAGAAUUUUGCUCAGCAUCAGAAAGCCCCAAUCAGGAUAGGGGAGAGAUUUAUCCUUGCGUAGCAGCAGCCAGCCAGAGUUCCAAUAAAUGGUUGAAUCUGCAAAGAGGAGGACUGACUGAUAUUUCUAACAGCUAGAAGACGCCAGGUUGAGAAACCUUAUUUCACUUCUAAAGUCAACUGGACAUUGUCAAGCAUGAGACACAGG